AUUGAACGCUGGCGGCAGGCCUAACACAUGCAAGUCGAGCGGAUGAAGGGAGCUUGCUCCUGGAUUCAGCGGCGGACGGGUGAGUAAUGCCUAGGAAUCUGCCUGGUAGUGGGGGAUAACGUCCGGAAACGGGCGCUAAUACCGCAUACGUCCUGAGGGAGAAAGUGGGGGAUCUUCGGACCUCACGCUAUCAGAUGAGCCUAGGUCGGAUUAGCUAGUUGGUGGGGUAAAGGCCUACCAAGGCGACGAUCCGUAACUGGUCUGAGAGGAUGAUCAGUCACAGUGGAACAGGAAGAGGGGCGAGACUCCUACGGGAGGCAGCAGUGGGGAAUAUUGGACAAUGGGCGAAAGCCUGAUCCAGCCAUGCCGCGUGUGUGAAGAAGGUCUUCGGAUGGUAAAGCAGUUUGAGUUGGGAGGAAGGGCAGUAAGUUAAUACCUUGCUGUUUUGACGUUACCAACAGAAUAAGCACCGGCUAACUUCGUG
rnacentral:rRNA from 1 species